GACGAAGGGGGCUAGCGUUGUUCGGAAUUACUGGGCGUAAAGCGAGUGUAGGUGGUUGUCCAAGUUGGAUGUGAAAGCCUUGAGCUCAACUCAAGAAAUGCAUUCAGGACUGGGCGACUAGAGGACCGGAGAGGAUAGUGGAAUUCCCAGUGUAGUGGUGAAAUACGUAGAGAUUGGGAGGAACACCAGUGGCGAAGGCGGCUAUCUGGACGGUUUCUGACACUAAGACUCGAAAGCGUGGGGAGCAAACAGG
rnacentral:rRNA from 1 species